AAUGAACGCUGGCGGCGCGCCUAAUACAUGCAAGUCGAGCGAGAAGACGUAGCAAUACGUUUGUAAAGCGGCGAACGGGUGAGGAAUACAUGGGUAACCUACCCUAGAGUGGGGAAUAACUAGCCGAAAGGUUAGCUAAUACCGCGUACGCUCCUUGGACUUCGGUUCAGGGAGGAAAGCGAUGCCGAGGGUAUCGCGCUCUUGGAUGGGCUCAUGUCCUAUCAGCUUGUUGGUGAGGUGACGGCUCACCAAGGCUUCGACGGGUAGCUGGUCUGAGAGGACGAUCAGCCACACUGGCACUGCGACACGGGCCAGACUCCUACGGGAGGCAGCAGUAAGGAAUAUUGCGC
rnacentral:rRNA from 1 species